CACGUAGGGUGCGAGCGUUGUCCGGAAUUAUUGGGCGUAAAGAGCUCGUAGGCGGUGUGUCGCGUCGGCCGUGAAAACCUGCAGCUUAACUGUGGGCUUGCGGUCGAUACGGGCAUCACUGGAGUUCGGCAGGGGAGACUGGAAUUCCUGGUGUAGCGGUGAAAUGCGCAGAUAUCAGGAGGAACACCGGUGGCGAAGGCGGAUCUCUGGGCCUGUCCUGACGCUGAGGCGCGAAAGCGUGGGGAGCGAACAGG
rnacentral:rRNA from 1 species